rnacentral:rRNA from 1 species
UGAGGAACAUGACCUUCGGCGGGGGAUAGCCGGCCCAACGGCCGGGUAAUACCGCGUACGACCACAUGGGGACAUCCCUGAGUGGUGAAAGCAGCAAUGCGCCGAUGGAGUGCCUCGCGGCCUAUCAGCUAGUUGGUGAGGUAACGGCUCACCAAGGCGACGACGGGUAGCUGGUCUGAGAGGAUGGCCAGCCACAGUUGGGACUGAGACACGGCCCACGACCCCGUAGGGACGGCG